CCUAUCUGGUUGAUCCUGCCAGUAGAUAUGCUUGUCUUAAAGAUUAAGCCAUGCACGUCUCAGUACUAACCCACGGUGCUUUUGCUCCGCGGUGAAACCGAAUGGCUCAUUAAAUCAGUCGUAGUCCAAAUGGGCUAGAACUUAACACGCAAUCCUGUACUUGGAUAACUGUGGUAAUUCCAGAGCUAAUACAUGCAACCAAUGCCCCGAAGGGAGCGACCUUGUGGACCUUCCUGACGGGUGCUUUUAUUAGACCAACCCACCGACGGCACUCGGGUUGCGAUGGAGCGCGCCUGCGUGUCUCCCUCUCGCUCUCCUUGUGUUCGCUCUCUUAACGUGUGUGGUGACUCUGGAUAACAAACAGAUUCGGCGUGCGCCUCUGGGUGCGCGCCGUGACGAGCGCACGCGAGAACUCCCUUAGUCGGGAAAGAACGCGGCGCCGCCACUUUCGAGUGUCUGUCUUAUCAGCUAUCAACCGCUCGCUAUGCGCGACCGAUGGCUUUGACGGGUGACGGGGAAUCAGGGUUCGAUUCCGGAGAGGGAGCCUGAGAAACGGCUACCACGUCUAAGGACGGCAGCAGGCCCGCAAAUUACCCAAUCCUAGCUCCUCAGGGAGGUAGUGACAAUACAUAACGAUGCGGGCGUCCCAGUCGGGGCCCCGCAAUCGGAAUGAGCAUGUGUCUUACCUAAACAACCUGUUUGAGAACCUACUGAAGGGCAAGUCUGGUGCCAGCAGCCGCGGUAAUUCCAGCUUCAGCAGCAUAUAUUAAAGUUGCUGCGGUUAAAAGGCUCGCAGUUGAAUGUCUGUGCAGAGAGCGACGGUUGGGUGGACGCUGGGGCCUGCGAGUUCGCUAAAACGCUUUCACGCAGCCCCCGUCCGUUACAUGCCCCCUCGCCCUGCUACGCCCAAAGUGAUACCAUACACGGAGUCUUCUCCUCGCUAAUCUCGCGGCGUUGUGCGCGCGCUUCCGUGCAUUCUCCUUCGGGGGUUUGUGCGUCUGUGCCGUGUGCGCGCCCGGGAGAGGAAAGUGCUCUCUUGGUUCUAUUGUCACGCCUUGAGUAAAUCAGAGUGCUCAAAGCAGUCGUGGGUGUUGCCCUUCGCGGGUGCAUCCACUCUUGUCCUUAACAGCAAGAGUCCGAGGCCUCGUGCGUUAACGCGCGCGGGGUCUUCCAAGGACUGGCUUGGUUCUGCAUGGCACGUCGGAACACGACAUCGCGAUCUGGCUAAUAUCGGUGGUGCAGGCCAGCCGCGAUGUAAUGAUUAACAGGGACGGUCGAGGGCAUUGGUAUUGCGCGGCGAGAGGUGAAAUUCUGUGACCCCCGCAAGACCUCCUGAAGCGAAAGCGUCUGCCAAGGACGUUUUCAUUAAUCAUGAACGAAAGUUAGAGGAUCGAAGGCGAUCAGAUACCGCCCUAGUUCUGACCCUAAACGAUGCCAACCAUCAAUCCGCGCGUAGCACCCUACCUAGCGGGCUCGGCGGGAAGCUCCUAUACCACGGGAAACCAGAGUCUCUGGGUUCCGGGGGGAGUCUGGUUGCAAAGCUGAAACUUAAAGGAAUUGACGGAAAGGCACCACCGGGAGUGGAGCCUGCGGCUUAAUUUGACUCAACACGGGCAAACUCACCAGACCAGACUCUGGCAUGAUUGACAGAUUGAGAGCUCUUUCUCGAUUCAGUGGAUGGUGGUGCAUGGCCGUUCUUAGUUGGUGGAGUGAUCCGUCUGGUUAAUUCCGAUAACGAACGAGACUCUCCCCUGCUAACACGGAAAAACACGCGUGUGGACGCGUGUCUCCUAGUCGGUUGGAUCUUGAUGAGAGAGUGGUGUGCGACGGAGACGUUGCUGGCGCUUGUGGGCUGUGCAUUCGCACCCUGUGUGUCUUGUACACGCUCCCUUGCUGUCGGUGGCUCUCUCGUUCGCGUACACUCCAAGUCCGCCGUUAAAGCGAGAGCGUGGUGUGGGGUCCUUCCUCGCACCCGCGAAUGUCUGUAUCUUCUUAGAGGGAUCAACGGCAAACAAGCCGUACGAAACUGAGAGCAAUAACAGGUCUGUGAUGCCCUUAGAUGCCCUGGGCCGCACGCGCGCUACAAUGUCGGACUCAGCGGGUGUUUUUUCUCUCUCCGAGAGGAGCGAGCAACCCUGUCAAAGUCCCUUACUAAACUGUUCUUGAGCAAAUGCGUUGGUUACUUCGGUGGCUGCGCAGAGCUUUUGACAUGGCGUGCUUGGGCCUGGGGCUUGCAAUUCUUUCCCACAAACGAGGAAUGCCUAGUAGUGGCUGGUCACGGAGCCUGCCGUGACUCAGUCCCUGCCCUUUGUACACACCGCCCGUCGCUACUACCGAUCGGGUGUACCAGUGAGAGCCUUGGACUGGCGCCCGGCGUUGCUCUCACUAGCAGCGCUUGGGUCGACGGAAAGAGGUGCGAACUGGUGCACCUAGAGGAAGUAAAAGUCGUAACAAGGUUUCCGUAGUGAACCUGCGGAAGGAUCAUUA
rnacentral:rRNA from 1 species